rnacentral:lncRNA from 1 species
UUGUUUGUUAGGUGGUAGUGAAGGGGUCAAGCUUACUAUGUCAGAGUUUCAAUAUGAAACUCUGGAUAAUUUAGGUAUUUAAGCAUAUGGUGAAUGAGUUGAGUGAAAUUUUGGCAGAAUUUCAGUGCUAGCCCUUGAUGUGUGUCCUUUAUGAGCAAAUGAUGUAGUUAUUUAUAGGCUGAUUCUAGGUUAGAAAUUAGUGAGCGUGUGAGAAUUUUGAGUGUGUG